UACUUGAGUUUCUUUAUUGUCUGCCUAAGG
rnacentral:piRNA from 1 species